rnacentral:lncRNA from 10 species
GGGGGCUGACGCAGAAUGGUGUGAACCUGGGAGGCAGAGGUUGCGGUGAGCCGAGAUCGUGCCACUGCACUCCAGCCUGGGCAACAGGGCAAGACUCCAUCUCAAAAAAAAAAUUAGCCAGAUGUGGUGGCGCACACUUGUAAUCCCAGCUACUUGGGAGGCUGAGGUGGGAGAAUCAUCUGAGCUUGGGAAGUGGAGGCUGCAGUGAGCUGAGACUGCACCACUACACUUCAGUCCAGCCUGGGCAACCAGAGUGAGACCCUAUCUCAAAAAAAAAAAAAAAAAGAAGUGCUAAUUUUUGGUUGGUGGUAAAAGAAUCUCUCACUGGCAACUUCCCCUCCAGGGCAAAAAUCAGAGUGCAAGAUUCUGACUCCUUUCAAGUUUAAAGGGAAAAAUAAGAUGAGAGAUGAAUAGAAGGGGGAAAAAUAUAAAAUGAGAUGUCACAUGUGACUUUUUCCUUUAAGUCAAGAUCUUGCUCUGUCACCCAGGCUGGAGUGCAGUGGCACAAUGAUAGCUCACCGCAGCCUCAAACUCCUGGGCUCAGGUUUCUCUGGCCCCAGCCUCCCAAGUAGCUGGGACUACAGAUGUGUUCCACCAUGCCUGGCUAAUUUUUUUUUUUUUAGUUUUAGUAGAGACAGGAUCUCACUAUGUUGUCUAGGCUGGUCUCAAACUCCAGAACUCAAGUGAUCCUCCCACCUUAGCCUCCCAAAGUGCUGGGAUUGGCUGGGCACAGUGUUUUUGAGACUGUCUCAAAAACAAACAAAACAAAACAAAACAAAAAAACACAAAAUGCUGGGAUUACAGGCAUAAGCUACUGCACCCAGCACUUGUGACUUCUUUAGGAAAGCCUAAACAGAGCUCUGAAAAGGAGGUAAGACAAAUAUCUUUGUAUUUAAAAAAACAAAAACAAAAAUGCCAAAAUAGAAACUACCAUGCCACCUUGGGAGGCAGCCUGAAUGAACCCAUCCAUUCUGCAAGGAUGUUUUAGAAGCACCCAGUAGAGGUGCUGACACAUAGAUCAGUUUCAAGAAAUGUUACCAGCCAAAUGUCUUAGGAGUUCUACUACACUGAACUAAUGGUACCUCUAGGAAGAUUUCUUCUCUAGGAAGAAAUCCUUGCCAUACAGUAACUUAGCUUUUCAUCUAUAUAAACCAUCAUAAUAGUCUAGAAAAGUAAUGGUGAUCAUUUCUAUUUUCAGUUGUUUCCGCUAUUUAUAAUUCUGCAGAGGCAAGAUCUGUCUUUCCUUAUUUAAGACCAUUCUACUCUGUUGGGAGCUUGUUCACUGCUUUGACUACAAAUGCAGGCCCACUUUCCUCAGAUGGAUGGCUUACAUAACAUUUGGUUUGGCUGGGCACAGUGGCUCAUGCCUGUAAUCACAGCACUUUGGGAGGCCCAGGCAGAUCAUUUGAGGUCAGGAGUUCAAGACCAGCCUAGCCAACAUGGUGAAAGCCCGUCUCUACUAAAAAUACAAAAAAAUGAGCCGCGGGUGGUGACAUGCACCUGUAAUCCCAGCUACUUGGGAGAGUGAGAAACGAGAAUUGCUUGAACCCAGGAGGUGGAGGUUGCAGUGAGCCGAGAUCAGCCACUGCAAGACAGAGAGAGACCUUGUCUCAAAAACAAACAAACAAACAAACAAACACAAAAACACAAUGUGGUUUACUGGCUACAAUUUUAGCAUUUUAUAGCCUCCACGAAAGAAUAAAAAUGCCUCGACUGGCUUCAUGUCCUGGAAGAAUUAUUAAGGAAAAAAAAAAACCUUGGAAUUUGAUAGACCCUGGUUUGAAUUCAGCCCUGAAAAUUCCUGACUAUGAUUUCGAGUGAGUUGCUUAAUUAGAGUCUCACAUAAAACGAGGAUGCCUAUCCUACCAAAAAAUCAUGACAAUUAGAACUUCUACAACAGGCUUGGCAGUCACUACUAACCAAUCUGUUCUCCUGUCUUGCUCCCUUAUCUGCCACAGUACCUUAAAAUGACCACCUACAAUUACUACCACUUGACCAGCUAGUUUUUCUUUUUUCUUUUUUUUUGAGACGGAGUUUUGCUUGUUGCCCAGGCUGGAGUGCAAUGGCACCAUUUUUGCCCACUGCAACCUCCGCCUCCCACGUUGAGGCAAUUCUCCUGCCUCAGCCUCUUUUUUUUCUUUGAGACAGUCUUGCUCUGUUGCCCAGGCCGGAGUACGUUGGCGCAACCUUGGCUCACUGCAACCUCCACCUCCUGGGUUUCAGCGAUUCUCCUGCUUCAGUCUCCUAAGUAGCUGGAAUUAUAGGCAUGCGCCUCCAUACCUAAUUUUUGUAAUUUUAGUAGAGAUGGGGUUUCACCAUGUUAGCCAGGCUGGUCUCGAACUCCUGGCCUCAAGUGAUCUGCCCACCUCGGCCUCCCAAAGUUCUGGGAUUACAGGCGUGAGCCACCGCACCCAGUCUUUUAUUUUAAUAUACAUUUUAAAGGCUAAGUGAAGCAGUGGAAAGGGAGAAGGAAAAAAAAAUCUGUUAACUGGUUGUGAUCAACUAGUUGCAAUACUGCUGCACUUAGACCAGCCACGACCCCACUAGCUUUUCUAUAAAGCCCAGUGAGGCUUUUUUUUUUUUUUUUUUUUUUUUUUUUUUGGCUCUCAGUUGACACCUAGGCUGGAGUGCAGUGGUGCGACCAUAGGUCAGUACAGCCUCAACCUCCCAGGACUCAACCAGUCGUCCCACUUCAGCCUCCUGUGUAGCUGGCACUACAGGUGCACACCACCAAGCCUGGCUAAUUUUUAAAUUUUUGUGUUGAGAAAAGGUCUCACUAUAUUAUCCAAGCAGGCUGUUUUAGUUGGCCUGUUUUAAAGGACUAAAUAUAUAUUUUUCCCCCACAGAUUUUCAAAUCAGAGAGAAGUAAUGCUCCUGCUGUAUAAAACAUGAACUUGGUGUUGGAUGUAGUUUUUGUCAGUUAGUUUGUACUAUCAUUACAUGCUCUGAAGGAGGGAGAGUUUGAAGGCACAGCCCUCUCACCCAGUUGGGACUCUCAGUGACUUCACAAAGAGAUGGCACUAGAACUGAAUCUGACAGUACAGAAACAUGUCACUGGCAAGAGGGGGAGGACAUUUCUAGAAUAGGAAAUUAUAGUUAAGUCAAGGUUUCAAUGGUCACCACAUACUCUAGAGGAACAGUUUGUGGCAACUUAGCUUGGUACCACAAAGGAAAACCAGUUUCACAAGUGGCUUACUAGAGAACCCCUACUUUUCUUUUUCUUUUUUUUAAGAGACAGAGUCUCACUCUGUCACCCAGUGGCACAAUCUUGGGUCACUGCAACCUCCAGCUCCCAGGUUCAAGCGAUUCUCCUGCCUCAGCCUCCUGAACUACAGGUGCGUGCCACCAUGCCCGACUAAUUUUUUUGUAUUUUUAGUAGAUAUAUUGGCCAGGCUGGUCUCCAACUCUUGGCCUCAAGUGAUCCACCUGCCUCAGCCUCCCAAAGUGUUAGGAUUACAGGUAUGGGCCACCACAACCAGCCUAAGUUCAUAUUACUUACUGAGUUCAUUAUUUCUUGCAUGUGUUUCUUUUUUUUUCUUUUUUUUUUUUUUAAGAGAUGGGAGUUUCACUCUUGUUGCCCAGGCUGGAGUGCAAUGGCGUGAUCUCAGUUCAUUGCAACCUCCACCUCCUGGGUUUCAAGAGAUUCUCCUGCCUCAGCCUCCCGCAUAGCUGGGAUUACAGGCAUGUGCCACCAUGCCCGGCUAAUUUUGUUAUUUUUAGUAGAGACAGGGUUUCUUCAUGUUGGUCAGGAUGGUCUCGAAUUCUCGACCUCAGGUGAACCACCUGCCUCGGCCUCCCAAAGUGCUGUGAUUGCAGGCAUGAGCCAUUGCGCCCGGUCGCAUGUGUUUCUUAAUGGCACCUACCUGCAUUUCCUAGCCCCUGAAUAUCUUUAGACUUUUAUGUUAGUAGCUUAUAGUAAGAUAUUAUGGAGGAUCAUAGGUAUAGGACUCUGACUAGACCUCUAGCUUGGAUGCAGCAAGACUGAAACAGCUGGACUAGUAUUUUGAGCAAUCCUAGGCCUUGGAGAAAUUUCUCAGCCACCCAACUUGCACAGGAAAAACUGAAGCCUUGGCGUCCUCUGGUGGUAGACUGGUUAUCAGAGUCAGACAUGCUUCUCAACUAGGAAUAGGCAAGCAUGAAAGUUCACAGAAGCCACAGGAUAAACAUGGCACAUUUUCCCAGAUCAUCUUUACUUAAAGAUUUUUUGGGAGAAAAAG